rnacentral:rRNA from 1 species
UAAAAGUUAUGGUCUUUAAAUUUAAAAAAUUUGGCGGUAAAUUAAUUUGUCUAGAGGAACUUGUUCUUUAAUGGAUAUUACCCAUUUUACCUUACUUCAUUAUAUAUUAAAUAUUUGUAUAUCGCCGUUUAGAAUAUUCUUUUUGGAAAAAUUUUCUAUUUUUAUGUUUAAAAAAAUCAGGUCAAGGUGCAGUUAUAUAGGAGGCUGAAAUGAGUUACAUUUUUUUGAAAGAAUUACGGAAAUAUAUAUUCAAAAUUUAUUGAAGGAGGAUUUAGAAGUAAAAUAUUUAUUAGAAAGAUAUUUUGAAUAUUUAAACCUAAUUUAUGU